rnacentral:rRNA from 1 species
UACGUAGGAUGCAAGCGUUGUUCGGAAUUAUUGGGCGUAAAGAGCUCGUAGGCGGUCUGUCGCGUCUGCUGUGAAAACUCGGGGCUUAACCCCGGGCCUGCAGUGGGUACGGGCAGACUAGAGUGCGGUAGGGGAGACUGGAAUUCCUGGUGUAGCGGUGAAAUGCGCAGAUAUCAGGAGGAACACCGAUGGCGAAGGCAGGUCUCUGGGCAUUAACUGACGCUGAGGAGCGAAAGCAUGGGGAGCGAACAGG